UACGAAGGGGGCUAGCGUUGCUCGGAAUCACUGGGCGUAAAGGGUGCGUAGGCGGGUCUUUAAGUCAGGGGUGAAAUCCCGGGGCUCAACCUCGGAACUGCCUUUGAUACUGGGUGUCUUGAGUGUGAGAGAGGUAUGUGGAACUCCGAGUGUAGAGGUGAAAUUCGUAGAUAUUCGGAAGAACACCAGUGGCGAAGGCGACAUACUGGCUCAUUACUGACGCUGAGGCGCGAAAGCGUGGGAGCAAACAGG
rnacentral:rRNA from 1 species